rnacentral:tRNA from 1 species
GGAAGUUUGGGUGAGUGGCUGAAACCACCAGUUUGCUAAACUGACGUACUCGUAAGGGUACCGGGGUUCGAAUCCCCCAGCUUCCG